rnacentral:misc_RNA from 1 species
GAAAUGCGAUAAGUAAUGUGAAUUGCAGAAUUCAGUGAAUCAUCGAAUCUUUGAACGCACAUUGCGCUCGCCAGUAUUCUGGCGAGCAUGCCUGUUCGAGCGUCAUUUCAACCAUCAAGCUCUGCUUGCGUUGGGGAUCCGCGGCUGCCCGCGGUCCCUCAAAAACAGUGGCGGGCUCGCUAGUCACACCGAGCGUAGUAACUCUACAUCGCUAUGGUCGUGCGGCGGGUUCUUGCCGCAAAACCCCCAAUUUCUAAGGUUGACCUCGGAUCAGGUAGGAAUACCCGCUGAACUUAAGC